rnacentral:siRNA from 1 species
ACUGACGCGUCUAAAAAGUUUGGA